UACGGGGGGGGCAAGCGUUGUUCGGAAUUACUGGGCGUAAAGGGUUCGUAGGUGGCUUGUUAAGUCAGACGUGAAAUCCCUCGGCUCAACCGGGGAACUGCGUCUGAGACUGAUGAGCUCGAGUGCAGGAGAGGAACGCGGAAUUCCAGGUGUAGCGGUGAAAUGCGUAGAUAUCUGGAGGAACACCGGUGGCGAAGGCGGCGUCCUGGACCGGCAUUGACGCUGAGGCGCGAAAGCUAGGGGAGCAAACAGG
rnacentral:rRNA from 1 species